AACGCUGGCGGCAUGCCUAACACAUGCAAGUCGAACGGCAGCACAGCAGUAGCAAUACUGUGGGUGGCGAGUGGCGGACGGGUGAGGAAUACAUCGGAAUUUGCCCUGUCGUGGGGGAUAACGUAGGGAAACUUACGCUAAUACCGCAUACGACCUAACGGUGAAAGCGGGGGAUCGCAAGACCUCGCGCGGCUGGAGAAGCCGAUGUCAGAUUAGCUAGUUGGCGGGGUAAAGGCCCACCAAGGCGACGAUCUGUAGCUGGUCUGAGAGGAUGAUCAGCCACACUGGGACUGAGACACGGCCCAGACUCCUACGGGAGGCAGCAGUGGGGAAUAUUGGACAAUGGGCGCAAGCCUGAUCCAGCAAUGCCGCGUGUGUGAAGAAGGCCUUCGGGUUGUAAAGCACUUUUAUCAGGAGCGAAAUCUGCAGGGCUAAUACCCAUGCAGUCUGACGGUACCUGAGGAAUAAGCACCGGCUAACUUCGUGCCAGCAGCCGCGGUAA
rnacentral:rRNA from 1 species